UCCGCAGGUGGCAGUUCAAGUCUGCUGUCAAAGACUGGGGCUUAACUCCGGACAGGCAGUGGAAACUGAACAGCUAGAGUAUGGUAGGGGCAGAGGGAAUUCCCAGUGUAGCGGUGAAAUGCGUAGAGAUUGGGAAGAACAUCGGUGGCGAAAGCGCUCUGCUGGACCAAAACUGACACUCAGGGACGAAAGGCUAGGGGAGCGAAUG
rnacentral:rRNA from 1 species